rnacentral:rRNA from 1 species
UACAGAGGGUGCGAGCGUUAAUCGGAAUUGACUAGGGCGUAAAGCGCACGUAGGUGGCUUUGCAAGUCGAUUGUGAAAUCCCCGGGCUUAACCUGGGAACUGCAGUCGAGACUGCUUUGCUCGAAUAUGGGAGAGGGAGGUGGAGUUUCCGGUGUAGCGGUGAAAUGCGUAGAUAUCGGAAGGAACAAUCAGUGGCGAAAGCGACCUCCUGGACCAAUAUUGACACUCAAGUGCGAAAGCGUGGGGAGCAAACAGGGAUUAAGAAACCC